UUCAGCGCGACCAAUCGCCGCAUCCUCCGCCUCCGCGGCCCGCCGCGGGGUCGCGGCCGCCGCAGUGUCCAGCCCUGCCGCGGUCCCCUCCACGGGGAAAGAUGGUUAGGGUUUCUAAGCCUGCAUUGAAUUACUUUUGUUGAUUAUGGGACACAUUAACUAGGGUCCUGGUGGGGUUAUUGUAUUUGUUCGAAAUUGAUUUUGACAAACAGGAAAUGAUCAGUUGUGACAUGGUACCUGCCGUGAAACUUGAGUAGCUUCCAGGGCUCCCAAUGUGGGCAGUUUCCAAUCCUCUGCCAAUGUCGAUUCCUCAGGGACUAGUUAGCACAACCUCUGUCCGGAAUCAACUGUCGCUGAAAUGAGUGUAUCCACACACUGAAACGUGUCAAGAUACACCCAUUUCAGCAACGGAGGGAGUAGUUGCUAGCAGCGCGCAAAGUUUGAAGUCUUAAAUAGCUUUUGAUAUAAAAUGAAGAGCCCCCUUAUGAUUGAUCAUCAGCUGUGUCAAAAUUCUGGUGAUCAUUUUUAUAUGACACUGGAUGAGAAAUUAUUUGUAAUGAG
rnacentral:lncRNA from 1 species